rnacentral:rRNA from 1 species
UACGGAGGGGGCAAGCGUUAUUCGGAAUUACUGGGCGUAAAGGGCGCGUAGGCGGCUUGGCAAGUCAAAGGUGAAAUCCCUCGGCCUAACCGAGGAACUGCGUUUGAAACUGGUUGGCUUGAGUCCGGGAGAGGGUAGCGGAAUUCCAGGUGUAGCGGUGAAAUGCGUAGAUAUCGGGAGGAACACCAGUGGCGAAGGCGGCUACCUGGACCGGUUCUGACGCUGAGGCGCGAAAGCCUGGGGAGCAAAC